GGUGAGAUGGCCGAGCGGUCUAAGGCGCCAGACUAAGGCGUUCUCGAUGUCUUCAUCCUGAUACCCUCUUGUAAUCUGGUCUCUUCGGGGGCGGGAGUUCGAAUCUCCCUCUCAUCA